GGGUCAGUAGGUUGGUCGUGCCACCGGUACGUACUGGUCUCACUGAUUCCUCCUUCCUGAAGAACCGUAAUGCCAUUAAUUUGGUGUUGCGGGGAAACAGGACUGUUACUUUGAAAAAAUUAGGGUGUUUAAAGCAAGCUAAUGCUUGAAUACAUUAGCAUGGAAUAAUGAAAUAGGACGAUCGAUCCUAUUUUGUUGGUUUCUAGGAUUGACGUA
rnacentral:rRNA from 1 species